CGGGGGGGCGAAGCGUUGUUCGGAAUUACUGGGCGUAAAGGGCUCGUAGGCGGCCAACUAAGUCGGACGUGAAAUCCCCAGGCUCAACCUGGGAACUGCGUCCGAUACUGGAUGGCUUGAAUCCGGGAGAGGGAUGCAGAAUUCCAGGUGUAGCGGUGAAAUGCGUAGAUAUCUGGAGGAAUACCGGUGGCGAAGGCGGCAUCCUGGACCGGCAUUGACGCUGAGGAGCGAAAGCCAGGGGAGCAAACGGGAUUAGAUACCCCGGUAGUCCUGGCCCUAAACGAUGAAUGCUUGGUGUGACGGGUAUCGAUCCCUGUCGUGCCGAAGCUAACGCAUUAAGCAUUCCGCCUGGGGAGUACGGUCGCAAGGCUG
rnacentral:rRNA from 1 species